AACGAACGCUGGCGGCAGGCCUAACACAUGCAAGUCGAGCGAGGACUUCGGUCCUAGCGGCGGACGGGUGAGUAACGCGUGGGAACGUGCCCUUUGCUUCGGAAUAGCCCUGGGAAACUGGGAGUAAUACCGGAUGAGCCCUUUGGGGGAAAGAUUUAUCGGCGAAGGAUCGGCCCGCGUUGGAUUAGGUAGUUGGUGGGGUAAUGGCCUACCAAGCCGACGAUCCAUAGCUGGUUUGAGAGGAUGAUCAGCCACACUGGGACUGAGACACGGCCCAGACUCCUACGGGAGGCAGCAGUGGGGAAUCUUAGACAAUGGGGGAAACCCUGAUCUAGCCAUGCCGGGUGAGCGAUGAAGGCCUUAGGGUUGUAAAGCUCUUUCAGCUGGGAAGAUAAUGACGGUACCAGCAGAAGAAGCCCCGGCUAACUCCGUG
rnacentral:rRNA from 1 species